GGGCGUGUGGUCUGGUGGUAUGAUUCUCGCUUUGGGUGCGAGAGGCCCUGGGUUCAAUUCCCAGCUCGCCCC
rnacentral:tRNA from 2 species